AAACGUGUCAGACAUUCAAAUCAGUUAAUUCAUGUUACUAUACAUGUCAAUAUUUUCCAGCUUUGUAAUAAUUACAUACAUUUACAAGUCAUUUUCUUGACUUCGUUUCGCAUCUUACACUUUGACAAUCAAAGAACAAUAUAAAAGAAAAUAUAGAAA